rfam:Tupaia chinensis contig90223, whole genome shotgun sequence.
AGCUUUGCGCAGUGGCAGUAUCGUAGCCAAUGAGGUUUAUCCGAGGCGCGAUUAUUGCUAAUUGAAAAUGGCAAAUAAAACUUGAAAACACAAAUAUUUUAUAAAAGAAAUGCUCUGAUAUCUAAAUUACAUAUUUAUGU